rnacentral:piRNA from 1 species
UAAGACACUCUAAAGCGCUUUGGUUUAC